UUUUUUACCAUCCUGGUUACAAUUAAUCUUAAUUAACCAUAUAUUGUUUGUUAUUAAAGGGAUACCAGCAUUUACUCAAGUAAGUCAGUUUCUGCCUUGAAAUCUUUUUUUUUUAUUACUUUAUUUUAUUUGCAUGACUUCUGAAAUCAACUCUGAAAUUAAAAUGAUAAUGGAUUGAAAACUUUGACAGGCUUGUGGGAUUCUACGAGUUGUAGAAGUUUUAAACUCCUUUUUUGCAUUCCUUUUUAAAUUUACAAUCAAUUUUCGUACUGAAACAGAAAGAAAGAGCGCUUUGCCGUUUCUUGUAACAAAACGGUCAGAACUAUCACUUUAUCAGAGGGAUUAUGUUGAGCUUACUCCUAAGAAUGUGCAGGUGUUGGUGGGAACUCUGGCAGCUUUAUAUCGGGCAAUUCAUUCUUCAUAUGCCUCUACUCAGGUAAU